CUUCCUCAGGGUCCGGCCCGAUGGCGGAGUGGUUAAGCGCUCACUUCUGCUUCUCGGCGGCCCCGGGGUUCCGGUUCGGAUCCCGGGUGGGGUCAUGGCACCACUUGGCAAAAGCCAUGCCUUGGGACCAGUUCUCAGGCUGUGGUGACUCAGGAGGCCUCACUGACCAUGUCCCCAGGAGGGACAGUCACUCUCACCUGUGGCUGUAGCACUAAGUGGUCACCAAUGGUCACCAUCCAUCCUGGUUCCAGCAGAAGAAUGAAGAAAUCCCCACAACACUGAUCUAUGACACACACAACAAAAACGCGCAGACCUCUGUGCAGUUCUCAGGCUCCAUCCCUGGGGCAAAGCUGCGCUGACCUCCUCAGGGGCCAGCCAGAGGAGGAGGCUGAGAGCCCCUGCAGGCUGGUGCACAGUGGUGCUCUGCUUGGCGGCAGAUUCAGAGGAGGAACCAAGACAGAACCCACCCUUGGCCAGCCUGGGUCUAUGAAUAAUCUCAUGAUCCAGGGUCACAGGACCCGGUGCCUCGGCUCCCCAGGCAGCUCAAUGACAGGAAGGUGACAGGAAGGACACUCACGGGAUUCUGACCCACGUUGAGCCCUAAUGUGGAGGAGAUCACAGUGAAUGCUUUGGGAGGAGCUUCUCCAGUUAAACCAGAGCCCAAGCGUUUUAUGAUCCACAGGCAACAGCGAAAACUGGAUCAGCCAAAUGGGCUGAAGUCAAACAUUCUUCCUCCACAGUAAAGAUGCCCCAGCGAUGUAUUUGCCAGCUAAGAACAAAGGAAAGAAACUCUCAUUCUGUACACAACUAAAGUAUUCUUUUCAUUAUGUUGUAUUCUAAUUAACUGUCUUUUAUUGAAUAAAAUCUAGGAAACAUGGACAGUACAAAGCUCUCUAGAAAGCUGACUCCUUAUCAGUCGGUGUGCCUUUCAGAAUUUGAGGGGGGUCAAUCAUUUUUUUCUCAGUUGUUUCCUGAAUUCUCAUCAUGAUACAUGUUCGUUUUGUAUCAUGAGCCCUAUGCAAUUU
ensembl:lncRNA